AAAUAUUUGAUAUUUUCUCAUUUGUUUCCUCCGGUGCACAAAAUUAGCAAUGGCUUGUUCGGUUUGGCUUCACUCGUCUUCUUUAUCACACACUCUGCUUCCAGUUCUCUGCCGCCAAACUACUAUCUCCACUACUUCCCUACGAUUCAACCGCCUCUCCUCCGCUGCUCGCUUCUUCUCCUCCUCCAUUGACCGGACCAACUCUCCGGUUCUUGUCCAGGCCAAGCGCCGCGGUGGUUCCUCAUCACUCAAAGAAGACCUUGUCGCUUCUCCGUCCGAUCUUCAUUUUGAAGCGCCACUGAAAAUUGUGAAGUAUCCGAACCCGAUAUUGAGAGCGAGAAACAAAAGAAUUGUCACGUUUGAUGAUAAUUUGAAGAAAUUAGUUGAUGAGAUGUUUGACGUUAUGUAUAAAACUGAUGGCAUAGGGCUCUCAGCACCACAAGUAGGAAUGAAUGUACAACUUAUGGUGUUUAAUCCAGUUGGUGAGCGAGGUGAAGGAGAGGAUAUAGUUCUCAUUAAUCCAAGAGUUAACAAGUAUUCAAAGAAAAAGGUGCUUUUUAAUGAAGGUUGCCUAUCCUUUCCUGGAAUCUAUGCUGAUGUUCAGAGACCAGAAGCUGUAAAGAUUGAUGCUCAGGACAUUAAUGGUGCUAGGUUUUCAUUCAAUUUGUCUGGUCUUCCUGCACGGGUAUUCCAGCAUGAGUUUGACCAUUUGGAGGGAAUUUUGUUCUUUGAUAGAAUGACUGAAGAGGUUCUUGACAGUAUCCGUAUCCAGUUACAGGCCUUAGAAAAGAAAUAUGAAGAGAAGACUGGGUUCCCAAGUCCUGAAAGGGUAGAAGCACGUAGGGGGCGGAAAGCUGCAGUCGGUUUUGGAAAAUCAUAAAUAUACAAUGGGCUUCCUCAGAUAAAUCAGGCUUCAUAGAAACUGUAAACUGAUAAUUUUUAUUCAUUGCCACCUGAAUUAAUGAUUAAACUUUGUUCUUAUAUUGUUGUUUUCUGUUGAAUAGGAUAGGUGAACUUAGGCGUGAUUCUGAACAUGUAACAUUCAAAAACUUGUUGAGCAGAAUGGCAUCAUAUUUGACAUUAACAUGUGCUGCUGCUACGAAAAGUGGCAGAACACAAAAUCAUCCAUACACCAUAGUAAGCCAGGGUGAUUCUAGCAAGAGUUUCUGUUGUAAGGAAAACUGGAUUUUGAGGGUGUGCCGGUUUGCAAACCGGUAAUAGGACGUACAGUGCUUGUUUUCAGCUCUCCAUAUGUUUCCCAACAGAAUGGUUGCCGAUACUCUUCAGAUGGUUUUAGUGCUAUGGUAGUUAGAGAUACACCAGUGCACGGUGAGCUGUCACUGCAAGCAAAGUGCACAGGUAUUUGUGUAUAGGUUCCUCGGAUAUUUACGUAGUUUAUAUCUGAUACAGAAACAGCUGAACUUUCAUUCUGGCAUUUGCUCUUGUCACAGUAGUAUUGAUCAAUCAUGAUAGGAGUCAUAACAUCUGAGACUUGAGUGUUUGAAAACAUUACUCGUUGCACAGAGCCUGAGCCUCCCUGCCAGUUAGAAACAAUAAAAAUACUGGCUCAAGCUGAGCAGAUAAUAUGGUA